CAACUCGCCACUGAGCCAACGUACUCCGAUCCCACGACGACGACGACGACGACCACCACCACUACUCCUCUACCUCCAAACCCAGCCACUGGCAGUCCACUCUACAAUGAGAACUGGCGCAGCCCAAUCUCAAACUCAUCUCUUGGUCAGUCUUUAAUCCCAUUGGGCCGCAACCAACUAGCCUCUCUCGUCCAUCCCAUGUCUCAAAAUCUCGAUGUCAAUUCUCUGUUGAAUGUGUUCGCCGACUGGAUGACCUCGCAGCGAUGGCCCGAUAUUAAGGAACUUUUUGAAUUCUGGAUAAGGUCGCUGGACUCGAAUGGCAAGCCUAAUAAGCCGGAUGUGGAUUUGUAUAAUCAUUAUUUGAGGGCAAAUUUGAUGAUGGGAGCUACUGCUGGGGAUUUACUGGACUUGGUUGCUCAGAUGGAGGAGUUUGCCUUGUUGCCUAACACAGCUUCCUUCAAUUUGGUGCUCAAAGCUAUGCAUAAGGCCA
rnacentral:misc_RNA from 1 species